rnacentral:misc_RNA from 1 species
UCAAACUUGGUCAUUUAGAGGAAGUAAAAGUCGUAACAAGGUUUCCGUAGGUGAACCUGCGGAAGGAUCAUUAACCUUUCAAAUCAGGGUGCGGCGCGGCCCCCGAGGAGCGGAAACAAUCCUUGGGAGGUAUGCGGGGGCUUCGAGCCCCCCAUUUACGCACGCACGACUGCCAUCCUUACUUUACGAGCACCUUCUGUUCUCCCUCGGCGGGGCAACCUGCCGUUGGAACCGAAUAAACUCUUUUUGCAUCUAGCAUUACCUGUUCCGAAACAAACAAUCGUUACAACUUUCAACAAUGGAUCUCUUGGCUCUGGCAUCGAUGAAGAACGCAGC